GACGAACGCUGGCGGCGUGCUUAACACAUGCAAGUCGAACGCCGAAGCUUGGUGCUUUCGCUGGGUGGAUGAGCGGCGAACGGGUGAGUAAUACGUGAGUAACCUGCCCUUGACUCUGGGAUAAGCACGGGGAACUGGGUCUACUACUGGAUACGACAUGCCACUGCAGGGUGGUGUGUGGAAAGGGUUUUACUGGUUUUGGAUGGGCUCACGGCCGAUCAGCUUGUUGGUGGGGUAAUGGCCUACCAAGGCGACGACGGGUAGCCGGCCUGAGAGGGUGACCGGCCACCCUGGGACUGAGACACGGCCCAGACUCCUACGGGAGGCAGCAGUGGGGAAUAUUGCACAAUGGGCGGAAGCCUGAUGCAGCGACGCCGCGUGAGGGAUGACGGCCUUCGGGUUGUAAACCUCUUUCAGCACGGAAGAAGCGAGAGUGACGGUACGUGCAGAAGAAGCGCCGGCUAACUACGUG
rnacentral:rRNA from 1 species